rnacentral:rRNA from 1 species
UAGGGAAUCUUCCACAAUGGGCGAAAGCCUGAUGGAGCAACGCCGCGUGUGUGAUGAAGGGUUUCGGCUCGUAAAACACUGUUGUAAGAGAAGAAUGACAUUGAGAGUAACUGUUCAAUGUGUGACGGUAUCUUACCAGAAAGGAACGGCUAACUACGUGCCAG